UUUGCUUGACCAAGAAGGAACCUAUCUUGGACACAAAACAACUCACUUGAUCAUGGAUCAAGUUGAGUUUGGUUUGGAUCAAAGAAGGUUAAACCUCUCAUUUGUCAAGAUUAACCAUAAGACUUUAACUCAUUGACCAUUGAUGGAAAGAAAGGGAUGAAGAUGAAAGGGAGGGGAAAAGAAAGACCACAACCAAACCCAAUUGAUCAAAUGUAAACCAAAUCAUCAUCAAUCAACACCAAACAGAAAAGAAAUGAAGAUAACAAGUCAAUAAGUCAACAAUAUUUUGUUGGUAUUUUUUGAAUUAAAAUAAAAUGCAAAUAAAAAAUAAACAAAUUAGGUCAAACCUCAAAUUCAAUUCAAAUCAGCUUCAACAAG
rnacentral:lncRNA from 1 species